rnacentral:pre_miRNA from 1 species
GGGGGGAGGUCGGAUCCUGGGCUGUGUCCCCGGCGCCCUGUGCUUCCGGGCCUAAGCUGUUGGAUUCCCGGGGCAGCCCCCU